UUGGGCUAUGCUUGCCGCUGCUUUGCUGCUGCUUUGCCUGGCGCCCGCGCCCGCCUACGCCGCUUGCUGUGCGAAUACGCAAUUUACUUUCUGGAUUAAGAACUCUACGCAUAGCAGAUGCUAUCAGUUUCCUGGCUCACGUCAAAAGUCCUGGAAUCGUCGAUUUUGUGUGGCCAAGCUCUGCGGUGGCUUUCGCAAACCAACGCCCUGUUGUGGCAUGCAGGGCUGCAGAACUUCUUGCUGCGGCUGCAACUGCUGGGCUGGCCAGCUAACAGUGCGCUAUGAUUUCACAGCAGCCUACUGGCAUCAAAUCGAAGAUGUAGCUGAAUAUAAAUAUGUUAGUUAGUUAGUUACAAUCUCAGCAAGCCAAAACUAAAUUUAUUGUGCUACACAUAAAAAUAUGCGCAAAUUUUAUUUAUUGCUAUGCUAUUUACUUUGUCUGCAACUGUGGCAUGCAACUGCCGCUUGCUGCGAAAACACACGCAUUACCUUUUGGAUCAAGAACUCAAGUCCGAAGCGCUGUCAUCACUUUCCACGCGCUAAGCAACAGUCCUGGAAUCGCAGAUACUGUGUAACCAAAUUGUGUGGCGGCUUUAAUCGUGCCACGCCCUGUUGUGGCAUCUACAGCUGCAGCUUGUUCUGUUGCCGCUGCACGUGCUGGGAGCGCAAUGAUCAAAUUGAAUACGAUUUUCAAGCCAAGUAUUGGUACGAUGUGGAGAAAGUGAAAACAACUAAGCAUGCCAAACGUAUAUACGAUCAAGCUCAGUUCUAUACGCCUGCAAACAAUUCGGCAAACACUUAUAAACCCGUAGCCAUGUCCAAGAUGUUAAACUAACACGCAUUAUAAAUUGUUUAAAUUUAAAGUUCUUGGCAAUCUAUAAUGCCCAUAGCCAGGCCAAUCCAUGCAAAGCUUAUAAGCUGCUCAUUAAUCAUUUAUAGCGGCAGCAAUUACGCUUUGAAGUCGAAGCAACUAUAAAACAUGAUGAAGCACUUGUUAGUUAAUAACUUCAUUUCAAUAAACAAGCAAGCGAGAGAAAAUUGGCACGCACAAGAAGUCAGAGCGGAUGACAACAAAGUGCGAACGAUGAAAGAACAACAACAACAACGUCGAAGCUUCAAGCUGACGCUGCUCGACUGACAAGGAUGGGAAUGAGUUUGAGUAUGGGAAUGGUCUGUUGGCUUGGCCUAGCAUGCGCACAAUUUGAGCUACGUAAAUGGACACAUAAAAUGUGUGUGCAGGACAGACGGACAGCCGGUCAGUCCAAGAGGGCAACAGUUGAUGAGCGCAAGACGUGGCGCAACUUGUUGCUGUAGCAGCAAUAUGAAAGGCAACUACAACUGUUGCUGAUAAAAAUCAGCUAAAGUGCAAACAGACUGCAGCGGCGGCGGCGGCGGCAUUGCUUCCAGUUGUGCAUUGUGGCAAGUGGCAGUGGCCAGUGACUGUGGCCAGUGGCAGUGGCGACACUUGAUACGCCAAUAAAUCAAGCAAUCUGCUUAAUUAAUGUGCAACUUAGAACAUUUAGAUGCAAUUUAUUUUAAUGCGAUAAUUUAUUAAUUUAUUGACUUUUAAUAAAGCAAACUAGACCUUGCCACUUGCCACUUACGAGUCGCAAAAGUCUCGUCCGGGGCGUUGUCCUGCUGCAAUUUAAA